UCAGGGGUACCAGGUACGUACAGUAGGAAUCAGGCCCACUCUCACUACUCGGUCAGUUUUAAGGUUGAGAAGACAAAUAAUUCGAGUGACUCCUUUUCCUGAACUGUUCGUACAGUUUGAAAAAGUGUUGUGUUGAUAUUAAAUGACUGUUGACGGGAAAGUUUCUAAAAAAUUUUAAGCACGCAAUAUAAAGUUUAAUUUUAAAUUAAGUUACAUUUAUUAAGUAGAAUUUUAGACGCGAGUCAUUAAAGAAUUAGUUCACGAAUUGUUUCAGAGCAGUACAAUUUAAAACUGAGUAAGACGGUUUAAAAAAUAAAAUGAGAGGAAUUUGAUUCCCUGUUUAAAUCUUCAGGGAAAUGGUUCCCUAAUUUACCCUUUGCUUCGUUCCAGUAUUAUUAAUUAAACUGGAGCAGUGUGGCGUUGAAAGACAGGCUGGCAGCCAAGGGUCUAUUGCGCUAUUUUCAAUCCACGCGUCUCUAAAACCCCAGGUAAUGAAGAGAAAGAAAGUGCUUAACAAGGUUUUAUGUGAUGUGACCAAUUUUUUGAUCUGUGUGCUGGAUCUCUGUAAAUGAAAUGAUGAACUACAAUUAACAAUUCAAGUGGGACUCUGUAUGUGUUCUUGUGAUCUCGUCUACAUAUUAGCUUGUGUUUGCAAUGAAAUAAGUAAGUUGAAGACUCACACGUGACGUCACUGGUCCUUGUCAGCGGAUGAGGGUUCCCAGAAAGGCAGACUUCAAGAACUGAGACCUGUUAACAGGAGCAACGCAAAAACCGUCGUUCAGAGGAGACAGACAGGACCACCGCAAGAUUUUAAACUUCCGGGGGUCUUACCCCUCCUAUGUUCCCCUUCUCCAUAUAAACCCCUACCUCACGACCGUGUCUGCGCUCCGCUAGUCGUAUUGAAACUCAGGGCUCAGGCGAGGCAGGUUGCAAGUCGCGGUGAGGUCCUCGAACGGAGAGGUGUUUCAGGCUUACGCGCUGCUAGCUGACGUGAGUGAGGUCGUUGAGUGUGACGAGGGAAGACGAAGCCUGAACUGCGAGAAUCAGUUACCUACUCAGGUACACAUUGACACUGCCAAAUACCUCUGUGAACAUUCUUCAAAAAUGGGUCCCAAAACGCUAGAUCCUACUGGCUUGUACUAGUUCCUUGAGGUCUUCUCAGUUACCAACAGCGGAAGAUUAUUUCAAACAUUUUCAUUUGACUUCAAGUGUCGCGACAGUAACCAUGAAUCCUAAACAGCUGGACCCGACUGGUCUCUACUGAGACGAGGCAAUGCUGACCAUCAAGACGAAGAAGCUGCGAUGAAGACAUGUUACCAUAUUGCAUCACGUGACAUUUCGAACUGAGGGGGAAGAACCAUUUUUUUUUCCCGGAAGAUGAUGAAAAUCAAGAAUAAAAAGACACAGGACAUACAAAGGAAGAAGAAAAAGAAGAAAAAGGGAUGUGGAGGCACGCGUGUUCCUGAUCAAAGCCGCAGCGAAGGCAGGCGGGGAGGAGACGAAGCGAUCAGCUGUUUCUGGUCGAGACACAAGAAGACUGCCAGCGGUUGUGAUACCACGUGGUCUCGGCUUUCGGUAAGCCUCUUCAGAAGAUAUUUAUUAUUUAUAAUGUAAUAUUAUGACGUGCCAGAACAGUUUGUUCUACGUUCCACGUGGUAUUUAAACAUCUGUUCGACACUGGUGUUUCUUUAAUAAUCGUGUUACCAUUUUAAUAUAGUACGACAUACACUUUCGAGUUUAACCCUUUCCAUGGCGUAUGUGAACGAUAUUGAGUCUAGUAACACGUGUCAUUUCUGCCUGAAAUAUUGUUCAAACAAAUUCUGCAAUUAAAAAUGAUUAUUUACCAAUAAAAAUGGCAUGUACGUUAUUACGUAAGCACAAAAUAUGCCAAGUUAAAGUAACCUUUCGUAUGUUAUGUUCUCUUUUAUACUCAAAAUAAAAUAAAAAAAACAUUAAACGUAAAUGUAUUUUAAAAUUAUCAGAAAACUUCCGUGUGGGUACGUACAUAUUGUCUAGGAAGUGAGAUUUUCUGACAUUUUACAGUCGUCAAAGUAGAUAAUGCAACCCAAAAUAAAUUGGUAUCGCGAAGCCAUCACAGAAAAUCACUGGUGACAUUUGACAUGGAAAGGGUUAAAAGAUCGCUCUCUGCAAAUGAUACGUAAAGUUUAUCUGUGGUUUGUUUGACAUUUGGAUACUGAGAUCAAAAUCCAAUUGAGAAGUCGUUACAAUUACGUAAACAGAGAUUUACUUAAAAUUUGUAUCUUUAUUUAUGAACGUUUGCUAAUGUGUUAAGCCUUAUUUAAUCUCCGCAUUACGAGACUUGAGUUUCUUGAACGGGCGUUGACCUUUCAUAUUCAAGAGUUGUGGUUGCUUGGUAACUAGAGAGAGUGUGUUGGAUCAGAUACUUCUGGUUUGGCCGCUGUCCUCGCCACGUUGUCAAAUUAUUGGUUUGUUUGUUGUAAUAAGUACUCAUACAUGUGCGAACCAUGUACUGUUCAAGAAUCUACUCUGAUGUGCAUAAAUUAUAUAAGACAAAUCAAAUUCGCCUCUUCUGAAAGUUAUAAACUCUUUUAGUACAACAUAUUAUGUAAAACUAUUUCGAUGUGAAUGAUAAUUUUUUGGGAAAUUAUUUUCGUGCAAUGUAUGUGAUCUGUUUGUUGCCCAUAGCAACGGUAGUCUACUAUUAGGUCUAUUUUAAAUUAGCACGUCUUUUAUAUUUACCAGAAAUGUACUAUAUAUACAAAGAAAUACAUAUAAAUGUACUCUUAACCUUUUAAGAACUAAUCUGUCGGAUACGGAUAUAGUUCAAUUAUGAAAAUAUAUGCUCAUAUUACGAAAAGCAUAGUAAUGAAAGAAUGGUUUUAUUCUGUUAUCCAAUCUUGAUAACAUGGCUGUAAUAAUGAAAUAUUACAAAAAUUUCCAGUUCUUAAAAGGUUAAAAAUAUGCCAACUCUCAGUCUUAUUGCUAGUAUCAUAGCAACAGAUUUAAUGUUGCUCUGAGUAUAUCACGUUUGUUUACCACUCUGUUGUGAUAAGUUUGUCUUGUGAUAAGAUGAAGUCUUAACGUAAAAUAUUACACAACAGAAUCGCUAUAAGUUUUAGUUAAUCGUCAACAACAAACAAUGAAAUUGUAACACCAGUAGACAAAAACUGCUAAAAUAACUUUUCUGUCUGUUGUGUUUAACAGACUUUGUCUGAAGCAGUACAUUUAAUCUGAACAUAUGUAAAUGCAAAACACUUUUUACAUACGUUGACAAUUUAUGCUGAGCGGUUGAAGUGUUUUAACAUUUUAAAUAUUGCCAGCAGUACUGAAACAACAUGGCUUCAUUCAGUCUUAGAAUAUAUAUAUUACCUCCUUCUCCGAGUGAGAAAAAUGGAAUAGCGUUAACACGUUGCUCAGUCACGAAAUAAUUGGUGUUCUUCAUUUUAAUUAGUGUAGAUACUUGAAAUGUGUUUUCAUAUACAGGGUGUUCAAAAUAUCUCUAUAGAACCGCAGUUCUAACUCUACAUAUAGAAAUUUGAACAACCUGUAUGUUAAAAAGAUUUACUGAAGCAGUUGUCAUAACGUCUUUAAUAAUUAAGUGGGGUUACUUUUAGAGGUGCGUAAUGAUGUAUGGCUUAGCUGCAUUUGGUUUUGAUUUAUUUUAUCUUACUUAAGGAAAUAUUUUGAUCACAACGUAUUUAAAUUUUCAGUUCAUGUACCAAUGUACGUAUAGAUGUCUGCCUUUUAUUUAAAUGUAGAUCUACUAGAAUUGUUUGUCAAAAGAAAUACUUUCGUUUUUUUUUUGUGAACCGCGGAAGUUUAGUCAGUGACUGGCUACGUACUGCUCGACCGAAGUUCGAUUCCAGGAAGAUGCAGGAUUUUUAUUUUCAUCACAACAUCCAGACCAACUUUUGGAUUCAUCAAGCCAGGCCCGUCUCUAGGGGAUGAAGCGGUCAGCCCCAUCUAGUGCCGGUUUAAAAAAAACCCUGGACAUUGAGCUCACAAGCCUUCGUGGCACAGGGCGAUUUCAUAAGCUUAAAUUUUAAAGACUUUCGUGUACGAUUGUACCAAAUGAUGUGAAGUUAAACUCAAGAGCACCUGUUGCAGAACGUGACUUUAAAAUAAAAUCGGUUCACAAGAGGACGAUUUUAGGAAGCAGUUAACACAGUAUGCAACUCGUUCAUGUAUUAAAGAUAGAUUACUUGUGUUGAAGCCUAACUCUUUUGUGAAUCAUCACUGCCACGGACAUGAGAAACAGUUAGGCCUAUAUAAGCAGAGACACUGAAUUUAGUGUGUAUAUUAUUAUUAUUAUUAUUAUUAUUAGGCCUAUUAUUAUUAUUAUUAUUAUUAUUAAAAUGUAUGCCAUUUCUGUGAAAUGACUAUUUUUUACGUUUGAAUAAAAAUUAUACAUAAUUGGUA